UGACCGCUGGCGGCGUGCCUAAUACAUGCAAGUCGAGCGAACAGAUACGGAGCUUGCUCCUUUGACGUUAGCGGCGGACGGGUGAGUAACACGUGGGUAACCUACCUAUAAGACUGGAAUAACUCCGGGAAACCGGGGCUAAUGCCGGAUAACAUUUAGAACCGCAUGGUUCUAAAGUGAAAGAUGGUUUUGCUAUCACUUAUAGAUGGACCCGCGCCGUAUUAGCUAGUUGGUAAGGUAACGGCUUACCAAGGCAACGAUACGUAGCCGACCUGAGAGGGUGAUCGGCCACACUGGAACUGAGACACGGUCCAGACUCCUACGGGAGGCAGCAGUAGGGAAUCUUCCGCAAUGGGCGAAAGCCUGACGGAGCAACGCCGCGUGAGUGAUGAAGGUCUUCGGAUCGUAAAACUCUGUUAUUAGGGAAGAACAAAUGUGUAAGUAACUGUGCACGUCUUGACGGUACCUAAUCAGAAAGCCACGGCUAACUACGUG
rnacentral:rRNA from 1 species